GAUGAACGCUAGCGGCAGGCCUAACACAUGCAAGUCGAGGGGUAGAGGAAGCUUGCUUCCUUGAGACCGGCGCACGGGUGCGUAACGCGUAUGCAAUCUACCUUUUACAGAGGGAUAGCCCAGAGAAAUUUGGAUUAAUACCUCAUAGUAUUUUCGAAUGGCAUCAUUUGAUUAUUAAAGUUCCAACGGUAAAAGAUGAGCAUGCGUCCUAUUAGCUAGAUGGUAAGGUAACGGCUUACCAUGGCAACGAUAGGUAGGGGUCCUGAGAGGGAGAUCCCCCACACUGGUACUGAGACACGGACCAGACUCCUACGGGAGGCAGCAGUGAGGAAUAUUGGACAAUGGGCGCAAGCCUGAUCCAGCCAUGCCGCGUGCAGGAAGACGCAUCUAUGGUGUGUAAACUGCUUUUGUACGGGAAGAAACACCGCUACGUGUAGCGGCUUGACGGUACCGUAAGAAUAAGGAUCGGCUAACUCCGUGCCAGCAGCCGCGGUAA
rnacentral:rRNA from 1 species